rnacentral:rRNA from 1 species
CCUACGGGGUGCUGCAGUGGGGAAUAUUGCACAAUGGGGGAAACCCUGAUGCAGCGACGCCGCGUGAGUGAAGAAGUAUCUCGGUACGUAAAGCUCUAUCAGCAGGGAAGAAAAUGACGGGACCUGACUAAGAAGCCCCGGCUAACUACGUUCAAGCAGCCGCGGGAAUACGUAGGGGUCAAGCGUUAUCCGGAUUUACUGGGUGUAAAGGGAGCGUAGACGGCAGCACAAGUCUGGAGGGAAAUCCCGGGGCUUAACCCCGGAACUGCUUUGGAAACUGUGCGGCUGGAGUGCAGGAGGGGUAAGCGGAAGUCCUAGUGUAGCGGUGAAAUGCGUAGAUAUUAGGAGGAACACCGGUGGCGAAGGCGGCUUACUGGACUCUAACUGACGUUGAGGCUCGAAAGCGUGGGGAGCAAACAGGAUUAGAUACCCGAGUAGUC